rfam:Callithrix jacchus chromosome X, whole genome shotgun sequence
UAGUGUUAUAGCUCUUUUAGAAUUUGUCUAGCAGGCUUUCUGGUUUUUACCAGAAAGCUCCC